GAUGAACGCUGGCGGCGUGCUUAACACAUGCAAGUCGAACGGAAAGGCUCCUGCUUGCAGGGGUACUCGAGUGGCGAACGGGUGAGUAACACGUGGGUGAUCUGCCCUGCACUUCGGGAUAAGCCUGGGAAACUGGGUCUAAUACCGGAUAGGACGAUGGUUUGGAUGCCAUUGUGGAAAGUUUUUUCGGUGUGGGAUGAGCUCGCGGCCUAUCAGCUUGUUGGUGGGGUAAUGGCCUACCAAGGCGUCGACGGGUAGCCGGCCUGAGAGGGUGUACGGACACAUUGGGACUGAGAUACGGCCCAGACUCCGACGGGAGGCAGCAGUGGGGAAUAUUGCACAAUGGGCGCAAGCCUGAUGCAGCGACGCCGCGUGGGGGAUGACGGCAUUCGGGUUGUAAACUCCUUUCGCUAGGGACGAAGCGCAAGUGACGGUACCUGGAGAAGAAGCACCGGCUAACUACGUG
rnacentral:rRNA from 1 species